GGAUUCAUUGAAAGAAUGUGAACUGAAGAGGAACAGCAUUUAUUUAGAAGAGUUGCAGAAAGACUGGGAAACUAACAUGCUUUUUUUCACUACAUUUACCAUAGCGGCGUUUUGACGAUUGUAGUCACAGAUCGUGGUCCAUGAUUUCGCUGCUAGGUGACAAGGGCCUGCCCUUAAACUCCCAAUAAAGCACUCGUGCCUUAUCGGGAAGUUAGGGAUUCAGUGUAAAGCACGCAGAACGUAAGACCCCGCGAGAUAUUCUCGCAGGGAAAGACGAUUCAGCAGCGAAUCAGGGCCCGCUGAUGGCAGGAAUCCGUUUAUUACAAAGCAAAGCGUCGUGGAUGAACUUUUUAAUAUCGGAACAAAAAUCAUCCGGGUUAAUAUAAAUGUGUUGUGCAGUGGUGAUUCAGUAGAUGGGACGGAUCUAAACGUGAUUUUCGGUGGGUGGCAAAAUCGGGCACGUCGGCUCGAUCGGUUUAGGUCCAAAUUCGAAACGCCGCAAAGCGAGGGUUGCGAGUGAAAUUGUUUGGUUUCGAUAUAAUGUUUUUAUUUUUACUCUGAAAGUGUAUUAUUUAUUUUCUCAGCUCCAUUUCCUCGAAAUCCACUACUAAGUACACGACUUCCUCGUUUUACGCGGUAACUUUAUAUUAGGUUUCACUUACACGCGCUUGCGAUUUAAUUUACGCGAUUUUGUGCUGUGAAAUAGUGUUUACUGUCAUUGAUUGGGAGGAACGGAUUGAAUUAAUACCGGUUACCAUCUUGGCGAUGUAUUGCUGAUUAGUGAACUAAAAACCAAAAGAAAAAAUGUAAAAGUUGCCUAAAACUGAAAGGAUUUCGGAUACCAUUUAUUCAUGCAGCUUAGUAAUAACAUUCACAGUUUUUAAAAAUCGUCGAAGAAAGAGCGAUCUCGAUUCGUUCAAAUGAUCUUGGGAAUUGAAUUAUUAGGCAUUAAGAAAAGUCUGGCAAGCGCGCCGGACUACAGAACUUUCACACAGCAUUAGAACGUUCUCUGCUCACCACAAGAUGGCGUUGUGGACCUAUAAAAGCCAUACACGGGUGUUAUUGGGACGAUAAUUAACCAUGGCAUUUGAACAUUUGAACCAAAGACUAUAAAUGGGUGCUGAUUUAAUAUUUUUAUAAUAUAAUGUUCUGUACCGUUCUUACAAAUCAUCGAAGAAAUAUAUUUUAUAUCUUCGAAGAGUAUGGCGCAUUUUUACCAAAGACGAAAAGAUCUCGGAAGGGUUAAAGCGGUAAAGAAUCAUCUCGCAUUUUCGCCUUGCUCAAAUGCGUUUGGGAACGGAUUGAAAUAAUACAAUGUAUGAUCUCAGCGAUUUAUUGCUGAUAAGUAAACAAAACAAUAAAGUCUUGCCACCAUUGUUCUACAAAUCAACAGAUUUAAAACAAUGAGGACUGAUUAAGCGGAAUGCGACAAUAAGAAAUGAAAAAUUACUGGUGAACUUGCAGUUCCGUGGUCAAUGAAAAAAGUGCAAUUUUGGAUAACCGAGUUGCUGCUACUAGACGUACAUUUAACAAAAUAUUUUUGGCCAGUAAAAAGUGAUUCGAAAAAUGUAAAAGUUGCCUAAAACUGAAAGAAGACGCACUUUCAGAUAGUAUUUAUUUAUCCUGGACAGUUUUUAAAAAUUGUCGAACAAAUAGAUUUUAAACAGCAACAGAUUAUUAAAAAUCUGCUUAACCACGGAAUUUUGUCCCGGCCUUUCGACAAAGAAUUAGAAAGUUCUCUACCACCGCAAGAUGGCGUUGUGGACCUAUAAAAGCCAAACCCGAAUCGACAGACACUGUAUCACUGGGACGAUCUGGAAGCAAUUAUGGAAAGACUACCCAAUCGCAGAUCGUUUUCAGUAAAGAUUGAUGAACUUAAAUGAACUUUUACAAUUGUCUUUAAAUAAGUGCUGGAUAAGUUUUCACCAGAAGUUGCAAAGACACGUGAACUUAUCGUUGAUGUAGGAAAGUCAGGAAUACCCAAGACAGGAAGACUAUCGUAAUGCUAUCGUAAACAGCGUGUUAUGGGAGCAAAAAAAAAAUACAAGACGAAACAAACAGCUAAUCAUAUAAAGAAUAGCUGCAUAUAGUUACGAGGUAUGCGAGCUAAAAGAAAGAACCAUGAGAAUGCUGUAGGUAACAGAGAUGGAUUUCCGGAGGAGGAAAAUCAAGACUGAAAAAAAUUUCGAAUGAAAGAAUUGGCGCUGCGAUGAAAGUAGGACACACGCACAAUCACGAGUGAAAUAACAACAAAACAACUAAUUACUAUUAACCUACUAUUACCUAAUUAAUUAAU